rnacentral:lncRNA from 1 species
AUGAGCGGAGUCUGGAGUGGAGCUGCGCCUGAAUGUAAAGAGAAAAGAACAUCUGUCAAACUUGGAUCAAAAGAAAUGAAAAAGAGUCCUGCUCUCAAAGAUUCCUAUGGCUACAGCAUCCAAGCAUCUAAGAAGGCUUUCAAAAAGAAAAUGAAAAUCAGCCUCUAUAAAAAGUCACUCCAAAAUACCAUCUCCUCUCAUUCUUCUUCAUUCUCCAGGGCACCAGGUAAUUGUGUUACCUCAGCAUUCAGAUUUGUUGUACCUUUGUAUAAAAGCCAGAAUUACUACUACCCUGGAAGCAGCCAAAGAUCUGUAUGUCCCCCGAAGUACAUGGGAAUUUCUGGCAUUCUACCCCAGGCUGACUGCUUUGAAAACCUAAAAUGGUCAAAAGUUCCAGCACUUUGUGGAACAAGAUCAUGGGCAGCCAGGAGAACCAGAACAUGGCAGAAGUGCUGUUACAGCAGAUUUCCAAUUCGUUGCAAAGGAAUAUUUUACCUGUAAAAUGGGAGACUGUGUCAAAUAAGCAGCUUGGCAUAUGAUCUAAAAUCAGCUACACCACGAGAAAUGCCUUGUACUUCAGGGACUCAGCUCUACUCCCCCAAAAUACGAGUCCUAUAAAAUCAGCGUGUCAAUGCCAGCGGGCUGGAGCAAGUGAUGUGGAGGGGGAAAAGUGGAGCAAUGCCUGAAAACUUCCUCCUGUAUUUGAGGGAGGAAAUGGCUCGGACAUUUCUGAAGCGCAGUGCUAAAAUACACCCCAAAAACCAGGUGGCUUUCUCCUUCUUUGAAAUUCUGGGCAAGAAUCUGCAAGCAGAAAGCUUCACUCUCCUUGAAACUAUGGCUAGGCUAAUCUUGGUGAGAAUAUUUCUUUCCCUCAGACUGCUUGUAUGGCCCAGGGGACACACGGUGGCAAGCGUGCGGAAAGAUUUAUCUGUAGCUUCGGAGCAGUUUGCGUGCUGUGGCAUCUCUCCUCCAGUGACACCGUGGCAGAAGGACACCAAUGGAGGAAGUGCUGAAAGGAGGCGUUUGCGGUUUACUGGUGUGACUUCAAAGACCACUGUCAUGCGCUCUAAGAUGCUGCUGCUUUUCCUACCAUCUGACUGUAAACAUAACAAUGACUAAAUAAGCCGUUCAGUGUCAGCCUACGUGUCUAAAUAUAUCGUUCUCUUUCUUAAAAAAACAGCACUGUAGGCACAAACCAUAUAAAACCAUCCCCAUGUUCUGUGUGUGAAGCGCUCCACGCAACGAUCAUACUUGUUAGGACUCUCACACUUUGCUUUAAAACAGAGAAGUGAGAUUAGAUCUGUCUCACAUUCACAUAUACCAUGUAUUUUUUCUAACUGUAGUAUGUUUUAAAGUUCUGAGAAAUUGGUUGAAAAUUACUUAAGUAAGAGUUGGUUAUUUUCCAUAGUUGCUUCUCCCACCUGAGAUUUUCUCCCUUUCAGCAGUUUCCUUCUAACACCGCAAGCACAGUUAUAAUUCCUAGUGAUGUGAUUUGACUUUUUUCAGACUCAGGGAGGGAAGGUGAAAUUUCUCAGGAGCCCUUUAGGCCUUCUUGAGAAUUUCUGAAGGAUCUCGGUAACGUCACGAUCACUUUGAUUAGGAGUUUCCCCUGCCACAGAUUUCCUCACUCGCUGGCACAUAGACCUGCUACCAUAGCAAUCAACAUAAACACACAGACACAUGGGAUGGGCUGUAGGAAAGACCCAGAUAUCAAACUCAGGACUUAUUCUCUGCUGGGCCAAGUCACUCCCUUAACAUUAGGAAUUCCUCACUGUCAAAAUACUAGUUCCAUUGCAGAUAUAUCCAUAUUAAAUAUCAGCAUGGUUUUGCUGAAAUCAAAAGAUUGGCUUCCUUGCCUUGCUAAGCUAUGUACUCGUUUCUUGUAGGAGAUCAUAGUACCUUUCAUAUCAAAAUGAAUGUAGGAUCUUCACAGUUUCAAUACUUUUAGCACUUUCUUUAGCAAAAGCUUGUUUUUGUAUCAGCCAUAAAUAUUGAUUCUUUGCAGUUUAUAUUUCUGUUAUUGCUACAUGAAAGAUAACAGCCAAGAACGGUGUGUGUAUCUAGUAUUUUGACUGUGCAAAAUAAGUACUUCUGCUUUUCAAAUAGAGGAAGCUACUCAUUGUCAGAAAGCUGUAGAUGAUAAGCACAUUGAGCGUGUGCAGGCUUCUAUAACACUAACUGCUAAAUAUAUUAUCUUUCAAGUGUUGUCACACUGCAACAGACCAACCAGAAAUGUCUAUUUUAUGUUGUUGACUGAUUACAGUCUGUGUGUUCUAUACCGUAUACGAAUUGCCUUAUAUUUACGUGGCAUUCUGGGUUUUUCUAUACAUUUAAAAAAGUAGUUGUAGCGUGAAGGACAGCUCUCGAAUUAGUGCGCCCGCUGUUCAUUUGCAUAUCUUGCACUCUUUUCAGGAAGGUAUCAGCGCUCAGAGAUAUCGAAAUAAUGCGAUAGUUAAAGCAAAUGCUCAGGUUUGCUGCUCGACACAUUGUUUAUCGGGAGUCUUCCUUGCUUAUUUAUUCCCUAAGCGGCCUGCUAGGCGAGUUCAACUUGGAAGAAAACCACCCAGAGCUCAGGGCUGGCAGCGCGCAGGGAUCGCUCCGGGCGCUUGCGGGAACCGGCCGGGUCACCUUGCACGCCCUCCGUCUCGUCGCCGAAGGAGCGGGCGGGAGGGAGGGUGUAUUUCGGUGGACGGCCAAGAGCCGCGCUGGCAGUUCCGCCCGCUGCUUUGUCUUUAGGUAGAGAAAAGCAGCGACAGACUGCGGGGAUAUCUCUGGCCACCGGCAGUGCAAAAGUGAAUUGACAGGGGCGUUUGCAGCAGGCAAGUGCAAGAUUUUGUGCUGUAGCUCACGGGAGGCAUUAAAAAAGAGCUGUGGCACCCCUCUGUCUCUUAGAUUUUGGGCCCUCAAAUAGCAAAAUGCAGUGACCCCAAAGCUGGUUUUGCUGUCACCUUAAUAUCGUUCUGGUUCGUGCCUGGUCACGCUCGAGCGUGCGGCGGUGGUGCAGGUGGGCGAUCCCGCGAGCGAGGCUCGGCUGUGGGCGCCGUUGCACUUCAGCCUUUGCCAUCUGCUCGGCCCGCUUUCUUUCACGCAGCAAAGGGAUGUCGGAGCAAGAUAAAAACAAGUUGUCUACAGCCGAGCAGACACGGCCCCGUUAUCAACAGGCUCAGCUGCCCUUUGUGCGCGUUUCCAGAGCAGCUUCUGGCGCCCGGAGGCUUCGCUGCCUGCUUGGCGCUGCUGUGGCGGCAGUGAAAGCGCUGCAAAGUUCAGCAGAAAAUGUGAGCGGCAGAAACGCACAGAGACCCGGGAGGCGUGAGCCCGGGACGGUCCCCAUAGGUGCAGGCAUCUCGAUUUCGGACAGACAGAAGGGUAUGGCUGCAGGUACGAGAACAGAGUAGGCAGUUUGGAGGGGCUGCUAGAAACUUUGUUAGCAAAGCGCACACUAUUGUAAGAAUUCUUUGCCCAGCGCUUCUCCCUGUUUUGUUAUCUUGUGUUGAGGUCAGUGCUAUAAUCCAUCGCAGUAAAAUUCCUCAGCCUGUUGUUAGCAACUUCCUUUUACAUGCUAGAGUCACUGCUAAGUCUCACCUCAGUGGCCAAGUGAUCUGCAAAAAUACGUGACCAGGUCAUUUUCCUACAGUUUGUCAAUACGCUCACAAAUGGUUAUUUUAAAGGAAUAUGUAAUCCAGGCUGCUUCACUCCUUGCUUAAGAAAACACAUCUGUCCUCAUUGCGAAUGCUUUUGUUACCUGUAAUCAGAGAUAAACUUUAUCAAAAAAGUGAUAUAAAGUAAAAAAAAGCAAUAAAAAUGGAUAGAAUAGCUUUGAGCUUCUCA